CCUAAGGUUAAGGCUCGGGUGGAAUAAUGAAGACCAGGAAUUUAGUUCCUGGUACUAGUGGUUCUGAAGUGUUUAAGGGGGGUUCCUUCUUUACUCUCCUAAGUAAAUACUGAAGAUUAUUUUAUGCAUCCACAGUAGUGAGGGAACUUUAAAUGUUUUUAAAUUAAUGAGCAGAUUACUGUAAUUAUCACUUGUUGAGCUCUAAAUUCUUAAGUCUCUGGUAGACACAUCACAUGCAUUUCUUCUUUCUUUUCUUGGCUAGGCCUGUGGCAUGCUCCCCUGCCAGGGAUUGAACAAGCGCCACAGAUGUGACCCAAGCCGCUGCAGUGACAACGUAGGAGUUUUAACCAGCUGCCCCACAGGGGAACUCUUCCAUGGAAUAGAAGCAAUUGCUGUUUGAACAAAAGCUAGCAGUUUUAGUGACAAGUCUUGUCAGCAUUUAAAGAAGAAAAGACAGGCAUGAAAUCAACCGUGUUGUAAUUUUAAAUGGCCAUCAGCACCUUGACCUGAAAUAUCAAUCAGACUUUACAAUGACAACCUAUUUGGAAUUCAUCCAACAAAAUGAAGAACAAGAUGGAAUCCGAUUUAGUUGGAAUGUUUGGCCAUCAAGUCGACUAGAAGCUAUAAGAAUGGUGGUUCCAGUAGCAGCCCUAUUCACACCAGAUUUGCCAACUCUUCAGUAAGAACCUGUUGUGUGGAGUAGGACCACUUGCCGUGCAGUUUUUAAUCCUUUGUGGUAAUUAAAGUAUAUGGAAAAAGCUAA